AUGGCGCUCCUCCUCCGCCACUCCCGCAAGCUGCGAAGGGUGCACGGCGUCCUCGACUGCGAGCGCGGGAGCAUCGCCCGGCACUUCUCUGUCGCCGCUGCAAAAGAAGACGCUGUCUCAAGUUCUAGUGUUCAUGGGGAGUACGGGAAAAAGGUUGGAAGGUCGAGCAUUUUCCUACACAGGCAGUCUGAAAAAGAUCUCCAUACCUUCAAGGUAUCAUCACGAGAGGCAAGGGGAAGCUACAGCUCCAAACGGAUGCCAAUUGCUGCUACUGGGGUCAAUAGCUUGUUCUCAUGUGGACAGGUAGUUUCGGCCAGACAUUUUUCAAGUGGGGCAGAUUUGCCACCGCAUGAGGCAAUCGGGAUGCCUUCUCUUUCCCCUACUAUGACCGAGGGAAAUAUUGCAAGGUGGGUGAAGAAGGAAGGAGGCAAAGUUUCACCUGGUGAAGUUCUUUGUGAAGUGGAAACCGAUAAAGCUACCGUGGAGAUGGAAUGCAUGGAGGAAGGCUAUCUUGCUAAGAUUGUUUGUGGAGAUGGCGCAAAAGAGAUUAAAGUUGGCGAGAUUAUUGCCAUAACUGUGGAAGAGGAGGGUGAUAUUGAGAAAUUUAAGGAUUACAAGGCUUCGUCUUCUCCUUCAGCUGAAUCAAAACCCCAAUCUGAGCCCGUGGAACCAAAAGAAGAGAAGAAAGAGGUUUCCAAGGCCCCCGAGCCAACAGCUACAAAGACUGAAGAAUCUUCUCAGUCAGGGGAUCGCUUAUUCUCCAGUCCCGUUGCCAGAAAGUUGGCAGAAGACAACAAUGUACCGCUUUCAAGCUUAAAAGGUACUGGUCCAGAUGGGCGUAUUUUGAAGGCAGACAUUGAGGAUUACUUGUCUUCUGCAGCCAAGGGUUCGAAGAAGGAAGCUGCAGCAGCUCCAGGACUAGGUUAUGUGGAUCUUCCAAAUACACAAAUACGGAAGGUUACUGCAAACCGCUUGCUGCAAUCUAAGCAGACUAUCCCUCACUACUAUCUGACAGUUGAUAGCCGUGUUGACAAACUUAUCAAAUUGCGGAGUGAGUUGAACCCGAUGCAGGAUGCAUCUGGUGGGAAGAAGAUAUCUAUUAAUGAUCUUGUUAUUAAGGCUGCAGCAUUGGCUCUUCGUAAGGUUCCUGCCUGUAAUAGUUCCUGGAUGAACGAUUUUAUUCGCCAGUAUCACAACGUGAACAUUAAUGUUGCUGUACAGACUGAGCAUGGUUUGUUCGUUCCAGUAGUUAGGGACGCGGACAAGAAAGGCUUGGCCACUAUUGCUGAUGAGGUGAAGCAGUUGGCUUCAAGAGCAAAGGAUAACAGUCUAAAACCAGAAGAUUAUGAGGGUGGCACUUUCACUGUCUCUAAUCUGGGAGGCCCUUUCGGAAUCAAGCAAUUCUGCGCCAUCGUAAACCCUCCCCAAUCGGCAAUCUUGGCUAUCGGCUCUGCUGAGAAGAGGGUGAUCCCUGGGGCGGCUGAGGGCCAGUACGAAAUCGGGUCCUUCAUGUCAGCCACGCUAAGCUGCGACCACCGGGUCAUCGACGGUGCCAUGGGUGCGGAAUGGCUCAAGGCAUUCAAGGGCUACCUCGAGGACCCGACGACCAUGCUGCUGUAG
rnacentral:rRNA from 1 species